rnacentral:lncRNA from 1 species
AGAAACUCCAUGCUAAGGGGCCUGCACAGAACUUACACUGUCCUAGACUUAUUUUGUUUUGAGAAAAGUCUCCAUUAUGGAGAAUUUGUCUGACAGUGCAAUGUGUGUGAUUUGCCUCAGCCAUCCUCAUUCAUCUCGUUAACGGCUGUUUUAUUAAGAGUCAUUUACCAAACAAAUAAGUCUUUUAGACAUGUUAAACUGUAGAAAAUUGGCAGGAUGAGAUUAUUAUCUGAACUCCAAAGGAAGAAAAACUGAGCAGCUAUGUAGACUUGAAGAUGUUCAAUUUAUGGGUAUGGUCUCUUCCUGCCUUUCAUCCUUUCAUCACCUCUCCUCUCCCUUUCAUAACAAUUGCCCUUGAUUUAUGUCCAUCUAGAGAUACAGAAUCUCCUGAUGUCUGACUUAUUGCUGUGUGUGGAUUUCUCUGGGGGACAGCUGCACAUCACUUUCUAUUUAUCAUCAAGGAUAGAUAUCAGAUUAUUAUGACAGGAUGCAUCAAAUUUAUUUCAUACAAGACCACUUUGACUUGAAGAAUCAAUAUGACAGAUGGAUGCAGAGGUAAAUGGCUUCUACCUAAGAAUUCAGAGCUGGAGCUGUGUGUCUGGGAGAGUGCAGGGACUGAGAAGAGGACAACAGUUAAGGUGUGUGGUUGCUCAUCUAACACACUCAAGAACAUGGACAUCACUGCUUGUGCCCCUGUGCUGCUGACCUUCUGAAAUGUGAGUGUUUCUAAGGCUCUAAAGGUAAUAUUCUCCUCUUUACAACAUUGAUUUCCCACAUUUAAUCUAAGGCAACAUACAGGCAGCACAGCCAGUACUGUGUCUGAGAAAAGGCUUGUUUUCAGGACUUCCUGCAGUACUAUGAUACUGUAUUGUUAGUUCUGCUUACCUGAAGUUUGCAUUCCUGAUAUCUGUUUCACUGAAAAUAAGGCUUUAUUUAUAUGCAAAGCAAGGAAGUGGAGUUGAUCACUAAGUACCUGUGAAUGUGGCUGAUAUGUGAUCAUGUGCUCAGGAGUUAAUUUAUUCUGCCUCAUCCAUUUCUUGCUGCUUUUCUGCAGGUUGAUACAUACACAAUUGCAGAAAGGGUUAUUUUGUGAAGUUAUUCUUUUCCUAUAUCCUUAAGAACUCCAACCAGUUUCUAAGAAGAUAGAAUCUUUCUCUUGUGAGUAUUACAUAAUACAUACACAUACCGACAAGUUAAAACUUUUUCAGUGAAUGGGAAUAUAUUAUCAGAAGUAGCAAACCAAUAUAGCGAUAGAUUGGAUUUUUAUGUUGCUCUUUAAUUUCAGACCUGAAUGAUGUGUUUCCAUUUUAACUUGCAUUAAAUGCAUUGCCAAACAAACAUAAUCUACUGCUUCCACCAGUGAAUUGCUCUUGCUCCUUUACAGGUGCAGUGUUCCUGGCAUCCACCAGCUACCUCUUGCAGUGCUGCAAGGCUGUGUGCUUUCUGUCCAAUCAGUCUGUGUUGCAUUAGGAUGAAGAGCAAGAAGCCCACAGAAAUCUCACCUCUGUAGCCACGGCCCUCAGGGAUUAACCAUCAAACAACUGCCAGAACUGCAGAGGGAUUCAGUCUUGCUGUCAUUACAUUGCAUGGCACUUCUGCUCCUGGACUCUAAAGAUUUCUUUGGAAUUGAGGAACAGACUCUUGUAGUCUCUUAAAUCUGAUAUGAGACAGUGGCAUUUUGUGAUUACCCCAUAUCUGACUAUUUCCAGGAUU